UACGGGGGGUGCGAGCGUUGUCCGGAAUCACUGGGCGUAAAGGGCGCGUAGGUGGCGUGAUAAGGGUGUGGUGAAAGCCCGGGGCUCAACCCCGGGUCUGCCAUGCCGACUGUCAGGCUAGAGUGUUGCAGGGGAGACUGGAAUUCCUGGUGUAGCGGUGAAAUGCGCAGAUAUCAGGAGGAACACCGGUGGCGAAGGCGGGUCUCUGGGCAACAACUGACGCUGAGGAGCGAAAGCGUGGGGAGCGAACAGGA
rnacentral:rRNA from 1 species